AGCGGUGACCUUCCCGGCGCUGAUUGGCAGCGGGCGAGUGACGUGCGCGCUGGCGGCUGGCGAGGGGGCGCGGUGGGCCCCGGAGCGGAGGGACGGCGAGGCCCGCCUUGGCAUCUGGAGUUGGGAGAGGGCCCUCGCGGUGGGUCUUUGACGUCGGUAGACUUUGGCGCCCGCAGAAAGGACAUUGUGUCUGAUGAAAUAAAGCAGGCAGAGUGCUUUGUAACCGGAAAGUGCCUUAGAAAAGACUUCUUAAUACAUUCUGGAUACGAGUUCUUGAUCAAAUAUAUCCCACAGUGGUGGAGGCCGUAUGAUGGUAUAUAACCAUCAGAGACAAGCAGCUCCUGCUACCUGGUAGAGAUGGAACACCUGACCACAGGACAUCAAGUGACCAUGUGAAUAAUAAAACCGCCCAUCGUGAACUGGUGUUAUCUGGUUCGCCAAAUCAUACAGUUGGACAAGCACAGCAGCAGCCCAUCCCCGUAAGACUGGGGACACGGCCACAAGUCAACCAGAUGCAGAUGAGAGUAUAACUGAAUUGACACCACCCCAUGAUGACUUCGUAGCUGAUGGGAGGAGACUGUAUGGUGGAAAAGAGUGAGGUGAGCAUAUAUAUUCCCCCUGGCUCCCUCCUGUAGAGGUUGCCUUGAACUGGAUGUGUACCUUGACCAAAGCUCAUUGCCUCUCUCAUGUGAACUCUUCACAAUUCUUUUCCUUCCAGAUUUUGGUUAACUCCUUCCUCUUCUUCUUCUUCCUCUUGGGGCUUAAGAGAGGUACAGUUCCCCUGCAGUUAGCCCUGGGUUACAAGGAUACAAGGAUAGUUACACACAUUAGUAAUUAGUCCCUCCGUAAGUAAACCUUCCUUAAAUGAUCCUGUUUGUUCUUUGUUUCCUGUUAGGACUCCUGACACAUGACCUUUUUAUCUCUUGUAUUAUUUCCUGCCUAAAAUCUACUUGUAUAUUAGCAUAGCCACAGUCUUUUUCUGUUAGUUUUUGUGUAUCUUUUCACUUCAAACUUUUCUGCAUUUUAAUAUUUAAGAUUUGUCUCUUGAAAACAGGUUAAAGGUGUAUCUUUAUAAAUCCAAGGUGAUUUGUCUUUGUCUUUCAGUUGGGAUAAUCAGUUCAUAUUUAAGGUAAUUACUAAUAUAUAGGGCUCUAAAGCUGCCGUCCUACUGUUUGUCUCACGUGUUCUUCACUCUUUUUCCUCUAGUUUCUUUGGGAUAAAUCAGGCUUUUUUAUUCCAUACUUUUACUUUUGAUUGGCUUUUUAGUUAUAUGUUCUUUUACUAUUCUUUAAUUACUCUAGAAAUUAGAAUGUGCAUCCUUCACAUCUAAAAGUCCAGUGUACAUUAGCACUGUAUCCACUUCUUGGACAAUGUGAACACCUUAGACUACUUCAU